rnacentral:lncRNA from 1 species
GGCCGCCGGUUUACCUGUGUGAGGCACUGGCGCCUGUGGAAACACUACAGCGAUUAUUUCCCUCUCAAGCUUCUGAAGACUCAUGACAUCUGCCCCAGCCGCAACUACAUCCUCGUCUGCCACCCUCAUGGGCUCUUUGCCCAUGGAUGGUUUGGCCACUUUGCCACAGAGGCCUCAGGCUUCUCCAAGAUAUUUCCUGGCAUCACCCCUUACAUACUCACACUGGGAGCCUUUUUCUGGAUGCCUUUCCUCAGAGAAUAUGUAAUGUCUACAGGGGCCUGCUCUGUGAGUCGAUCCUCCAUUGACUUUCUGCUGACUCAUAAAGGCACAGGCAACAUGGUCAUUGUGGUGAUUGGUGGACUGGCUGAGUGCAGAUACAGCCUGCCAGGUUCUUCUACCCUGGUGUUGAAGAACCGGUCUGGCUUUGUGCGCAUGGCCCUUCAGCAUGGGUAAGGACAGCUCCAGUCCAGGCUGGCGGAAGGGAUCCAAAAGUGUUGCAGGGAAAGAAGAAGAGGGGGUUUUGAUGAAAGGACAUCCACAGAGAGAGGAGGAAGUAUACAAUACAUUCUUACGAACUAUGGUCAUCAGAAAGAUAAGUUUUAUUUG